rnacentral:rRNA from 1 species
UGAGGAAUAUUGCUCAAUGGACGAAAGUCUGAAGCAGCAACGCCGCGUGAGGGAUGAAGGUGCUCUGCAUCGUAAACCUCUGUAGUCGGGGACAAAUGACGAGUUACUACUCGUGUGAUGGUACCCGAAAAGUAAGGAUCGGCUAACUACGUGCCAGCAGCCGCGGUAAUACGUAGGAUCCAAGCGUUGUCCGGAUUUACUGGGUGUAAAGGGUGCGCAGGCGGACUGGUUAGUCCGGGGUGAAAUCUCGCCGCUCAACGGCGAAACUGCCUUGGAUACUGCCGGUCUUGAAUUAGCGAGAGGUUCGUGGAAUUCCGAGUGUAGCAGUGAAAUGUGUAGAUAUUCGGAAGAACACCAGUGGCGAAGGCAGCGAACUGGCGCUAUAUUGACGCUCAGGCACGAAAGCAUGGGGAUCAAACAGGAUUAGAUACCCCGGUAGUCC